UCUUCUCCUCGUCUACUGCUGAGCAGCACUCGAUCGAUCCCCGAAAUCCCGAUUCCCUCGCCGGAGCCACCGCUCCUCGGCUCCUCCUGCAUACCGCCUUCCACCUGCGAGCCUAUUCUUCUCCGUCCAAAUCCGACGCCGGACAAAGCCAUCUUUCAGCCGCGAAGGAAGUGCAGAUCUCGACAAUGGCGGCGGUGGGGCGAGGGGAGAUCGAGGUCUUGCCCACCUGAGCGUCGGCGGCGACGUGGGGUAGCAGCCUAGCAGGGAAGAGCGGCGAGAGGGAGGACGCGCGGCGGAGCGGGACGGGGUGCCGGCGGGGCUCGGGUGGUAUGUAAUCCAGACAGGCAGAGGACUUGGCUGCAGCUUGUGCUUGUCCAUGUCCUUUUAAGAUGCCAGAGCUGUACAUCUCUUCUAGAAGCUGACCCCUGCUGUGGUCACCGUCUCUAAUUAUAAAUCAAGGGAAUGGCGUCGCCAAUCGCGCGCCAUGUUAAUUGUGUAAGUGCUAGUGGCACUAUAAUAACAAUUUUCCGUUUUUUGAAACUAAAUAGUGUAGCGUUUGAUUGCUGAGGUGGUUCGCUUCUGAUUGCUAGUUAUACAUUCAGUGGCAAAUUUGUAUCAAAAUAACAACAACGACGAGAUGUUGGCGCUUGGAUGACACACCUCUAAAUCGCCCUACUUUAGCUAGUUUUAAGAUACAAGUAUAUGCAUGACUGGUGAAUUUAUUUUUCAUGUCCUCUUUAUGAAGAAAAAAAUGUGACCGGUGAUUUUGGA